rnacentral:rRNA from 1 species
GACGAACGCUGGCGGCGUGCCUAAUACAUGCAAGUCGAGCGGACGAAUCGAAAGCUUGCUUUUGAUUCGUUAGCGGCGGACGGGUGAGUAACACGUGGGCAACCUGCCCUGUAGACGGGGAUAACACCGAGAAAUCGGUGCUAAUACCGGAUAACACGAAAUGUCGCAUGACGUUUCGUUGAAAGACGGCGCAAGCUGUCGCUACAGGAUGGGCCCGCGGCGCAUUAGCUAGUUGGUGAGGUAACGGCUCACCAAGGCGACGAUGCGUAGCCGACCUGAGAGGGUGAUCGGCCACACUGGGACUGAGACACGGCCCAGACUCCUACGGGAGGCAGCAGUAAGGAAUCUUCCGCAAUGGACGAAAGUCUGACGGAGCAACGCCGCGUGAGCGAAGAAGGCCUUCGGGUCGUAAAGCUCUGUUGUUAGGGAAGAACAAGUAACGCAGUAACUGGCGUUACCGUGACGGUACCCAACGAGAAAGCCACGGCUAACUACGUG